UCAUGGCUCAGGAUGAACGCUGGCGGCGUGCUUAACACAUGCAAGUCGAACGAACUUUCGGGUUAGUGGCGGACGGGUGAGUAACGCGUGGGAAUCUGCCCUCAGGAGGGGGAUAACGGCUGGAAACGGCCGCUAAUACCCCAUAUGCCGAGAGGUGAAAGGAAUUUCGCCUGAGGAUGAGCCCGCGUCUGAUUAGCUAGUUGGUGGGGUAAGAGCCUACCAAGGCGACGAUCAGUAGCUGGUCUGAGAGGAUGAUCAGCCACACUGGGACUGAGACACGGCCCAGACUCCUACGGGAGGCAGCAGUGGGGAAUUUUCCGCAAUGGGCGAAAGCCUGACGGAGCAACGCCGCGUGAGGGAUGAAGGCUCUGGGCUGUAAACUUUUUCAAGGAAGAAGAACUACGGUACUUAGGAAAUAAGCCACGGCUAUAAGUGCC
rnacentral:rRNA from 1 species